rnacentral:rRNA from 1 species
GGGGAUAAUCGUCGGAAACGGCGUCUAAUACCCCGUAUGAAGCUGGACGGCAUCGUCUGGUUUUGAAAGAAUAUCGGAGACGGAUGGGCAUGCGGCGCAUUAGCUAGUUGGCGGGGUAACGGCCCACCAAGGCGACGAUGCGUAGGGGUUCUGAGAGGAAGGUCCCCCACACUGGUACUGAGACACGGACCAGACUCCUACGGGAGGCAGCAGUGAGGAAUAUUGGUCAAUGGGCGAGAGCCUGAACCAGCCAAGUCGCGUGAGGGAGUACUGCCCUAUGGGUUGUAAACCUCUUUUGUCGGGGAGCAAAAGCCGGACGUGUCCGUCUGUGAGAGUACCCGAAGAAAAAGCAUCGGUUAACUCCGUGCCAGCAGCCGCGGUAAUACGGAGGAUGCGAGCGUUAUCCGGAUUUAUUGGGUUUAAAGGGUGCGCAGGCGGAUUUUUAAGUCAGCGGUCAAAUCGUGGGGCUCAACCCCAUCCAGCCGUUGAAACUGGGGAUCUAGAGUGUGCGAGAGGUAUGCGGAAUGCGUGGUGUAGCGGUGAAAUGCAUAGAUAUCACGCAGAACCCCGAUUGCGAAGGCAGCAUACCGGUGCACAACUGACGCUCAGGCACGAAAGCGUGGGUAUCGAACAGGAUUAGAUACCCUGGUAGUCCACGCAGUAAACG